AUUAAGCCAUGCAGGUCUAAGUGCACACGGUCGGUACAGUGAAACUGCGAAUGGCUCAUUAAAUCAGUUAUGGUUCCUUUGAUCGCUCCACCCGCUACUUGGAUAACUGUGGCAAUUCCAGAGCUAAUACAUGCAAACGAGCGCCGACCCGGCUCCCCCCGGGGGGUCGGGGACGCGUGCAUUUAUCAGAUCCAAAACCCAUCCGGGGUCGGCUUCGGCCGCCCCGGCCGCUUUGGUGACUCUAGAUAACCUCGGGCCGAUCGCGCGCCCUCCGCGGCGGCGACGACUCAUUCGAAUGUCUGCCCUAUCAACUUUCGAUGGUACAUUCGGCGCCUACCAUGGUGACCACGGGUAACGGGGAAUCAGGGUUCGAUUCCGGAGAGGGAGCCUGAGAAACGGCUACCACAUCCAAGGAAGGCAGCAGGCGCGCAAAUUACCCAUUUCCGACACGGAGAGGUA
rnacentral:rRNA from 1 species